AAAGUCGUAACAAGGUUUCCGUAGGUGAACCUGCGGAAGGAUCAUUAAUGAUUUGGCGAACCGAGCGUUAGCGAGGUUUUGCGAUCAAUUUGUAUUUAAAACCCAGCUCUUUACAAUAUUUAUAUAUAAUUUUAAUGAUAAAAUUAAAGAUCACUUUCAACAACGGAUCUCUUGGCUCUC
rnacentral:misc_RNA from 1 species